rnacentral:rRNA from 1 species
AUGUUGACACCAAAACCUGAUUGCAAUCACUGUGGUGCUAAGAGAUUCCAGUAUGAAACAAGUGGAUUUUGUUGUCGGUCCGGAAAGAUUAACCUAGCACACUCAGAACCUCCCUUGGAACUUCAAAUGUUAUACAAAAGUUCAGAUCCCAAUGCCGUGCAUUUUAGGGAGAACAUUCGGUACUUUAAUGGACACUUCUCAUUCACCACCCUUGGAGUCAGUCUUGACAAUAGAUACACAAACAUGAGUUCAGGAGUGUAUACAUUCCGAGCUCACGGUCAGAUUUACCACAACGUCUUCUCAUUUGGUCCAACUCAAGAUGGACCUAAGCAUUUGGAGCUCUACUUCUAUGAUGAUGAUCCAAGUUUACAACAUAGGUUUCGGUGCUCCCCAAACCUAGACCGAGAUGUCAUUCGUAAGCUUGUCGACAUCCUCAAGGAUAAUCCUUAUUCUGAGACAUUCAGGAAUCUAGGUGGAGUCGAUGACCUUGAGGAAUACCGUAUUGAACUAAACACCGACAUGAGGUUGGACCAACGGAGAUAUAACUUGCCUAUAUCAUCGGAGGUUGCGGCUAUUUGGGUUGAGGGUAAUGAACUAUGUAAGCACUUUGAUCGUAGCAUAGUACUGUUUGGUAACGGCAACAAGAGAUAUAGCAUCCAGCCAUAUUAUGGAUGCUAUGAUCCGUUGUCUUACCCUUUAUUCUUUCCAAGAGGGGAGAUUGGUUGGCAUCCCGAAAUCCCAAAGAAUGGCGUCAACUUGAAUGAGAUACUUCAAUCUCGUCGCAGUGGUCGACAUAGUCUAGGUACAUAUACAAAUAGUCGAUUAUGCGUAUCUGUUAGAGACUACUAUUGCUACAAGUUUCAAAUACGUCGUGGUGUAUUUAACACCAUGCUAUACGGUAAACAACUGUGCCAACAGUAUGUGGUUGAUAUGUACAUCAAGGUUGAAAGCUCAAGAUUGGACUAUAUCAGAAAUCACCAGAAACAAAUACGUGCUGAUCUAUACCAAGGUGUUGUUGAUAGCCUUCAAGCUGGGGAAAACCGUGCGGAUGCAGUGGGCAAAUGGACUAUACUUCCUACAUCAUUUAUUGGGGGAAAAAGAGAUAGGAGACGAAGGUAUCUUAAUGCCAUGGCCUUGGUGCAAAAGUAUGGGAAACCAGAUAUAUUUUUAACCAUGACUUGCAAUCCGAAUUGGGGUGAGAUAAUUAGUGAGCUGGAGCCUGGACAAACCCCACAGGAUCGCCCUGAUCUUAUCGUAUGA